UAAGUUAUUAAGGGCACACGGUGGAUGCCUUGGCAUUAAGAGCCGAUGAAGGACGUGUGAAUCUGCGAUAAGCCUCGGGGAGCCGAUAACUGGGCUGUGAUCCGAGGAUUUCCGAAUGGGGAAACCUGGCUCAUCUUCAUGGUGAGUUACCGCCAGCUGAAUGUAUAGGCUGGUUGGGGGGAACGCGGGGAAGUGAAACAUCUCAGUACCCGCAGGAAGAGAAAAUAAAGUAAUGAUUCUGUGAGUAGUGGCGAGCGAAAGCGGAAGAGACUAAACCUGUGGUGUGUGAUAGCGGUUAGGCGUUGCAUCAUGGGGGUUGUGGGAGUCACAGUGGCAGUUCUAACUGGCUGCCGGCAUGAUGUUCAGGAUGGUAGGUGAACGACUUGGAAUGGUCGGCCGUAGAGGGUGAGAGUCCCGUAAUCGAAAUUGUUCUGUCCGUGGUGUGGCCACCCGAGUAGCACGGGGCUCGUGGAAUCUCGUGUGAAUCUGCCAGGACCACCUGGUAAGUCUAAAUACUUCUUAAUGACCGAUAGUGAAUCAGUACCGUGAGGGAAUGGUGAAAAGUACCCCGGGAGGGGAGUGAAAUAGUACCUGAAACCGUGUGCUUACAAGCCGUUGGAGCCUUUUGGGGUGACAGCGUGCCUUUUGAAGAAUGAGCCUGCGAGUUAGUGUUAUGUCGCGAGGUUAACCCGUGUGGGGUAUCCGUAGCGAAAGCGAGUCUGAAUAGGGCGUUUGAGUGGCAUGACCUAGACCCGAAGCGGAGUGAUCUAUCCAUGGCCAGGUUGAAGCGACGGUAAGACGUCGUGGAGGACCGAACCCACUUCAGUUGAAAAUGGAGGGGAUGAGCUGUGGGUAGGGGUGAAAGGCCAAUCAAACUCCGUGAUAGCUGGUUCUCCCCGAAAUGCAUUUAGGUGCAGCGUCCCGUGGUCCCCGGCGGAGGUAGAGCUACUGGGUGGCUGAUCGGCCCCACAGGGUUAGUGACGUCAACCAAACUCCGAAUGCCGUUCGGGUUACAGCGGGGCAGUGAGACUGCGGGGGAUAAGCUCCGUGGUCGAAAGGGAAACAGCCCAGAUCGCCGGCUAAGGCCCCUAAGCGUGUGCUAAGUGGGAAAGGAUGUGCGGUCGCGCAGACAACCAGGAGGUUGGCUUAGAAGCAGCCACCCUUGAAAGAGUGCGUAAUAGCUCACUGGUCAAGUGAUCGUGCGCCGACAAUGUAGCGGGGCUCAAGCACACCGCCGAAGCCGCGGAUCCGCAGCGUGUACUCUCCUGUCCCUUGAUGGACGUGGCAGGGGUUGCGGGUGGUAGGGGAGCGUCCUGCACCGGGUGAAGCCUCGGAGUGAUCCAGGGGUGGAUGGUGCGGGAGUGAGAAUGCAGGCAUGAGUAGCGAUACUAGGGUGAGAAACCCUAGCGCCGAAUGACCAAGGGUUCCAGGGCCAGGCUAGUCCGCCCUGGGUGAGUCGGGACCUAAGGCGAGGCCGACAGGCGUAGUCGAUGGACGACGGGUUGAUAUUCCCGUACCGGCGAAGCACCGCCCAUGCUGACGCGCGGGUGCUAACCCACGCCGAUGGCCACGAACGCGUCAUGUGAUCACUUCGGUGGUCCGUGUCGUGGUGGUUGUUGGUCUGGGGACCCUCCGUGCAGGUAGGCAAGCGUAUUAACAGGGGUGACGCACAGUGGUAGCCUCCGCGGGCCUAAUGGCUUGGCCCGUUCAAGCGAGCAGCCCGCUGCCUAGGCAAAUCCGGGCAGCAUGAGGGUCAGACGUGAUGGUGACCCGCCCAUUUGGGUGGGGAAGUAGGGUGAUCCUGGGGUGCCGAGAAAAGCCUCGACGCGAUGGUGCCAGCCGCCCGUACCCUAAACCGACACAGGUGGUCGGGCAGAGUAUGCCUAGGCGCACGAGAUAAUCAUGGUGAAGGAACUCGGCAAAAUGCCCCCGUAACUUCGGGAGAAGGGGGGCCCAAGCCUUGAAGCUCCUUGCGGGCUAGGGGUGAGGGUCGCAGAGACCAGGGAGAAGCGACUGUUUACUAAAAACACAGGUCCGUGCGAAGCCGCAAGGCGAUGUAUACGGACUGACGCCUGCCCGGUGCUGGAAGGUUAAGAGGAUUGGUUAGCCCUUUUUUGGGCGAAGCUGAGAAUUUAAGCCCCAGUAAACGGCGGUGGUAACUAUAACCAUCCUAAGGUAGCGAAAUUCCUUGUCGGGUAAGUUCCG
rnacentral:rRNA from 1 species